UCGAGAAUCUUCCACAAUGGGGGAAACCCUGAUGGAGCGACGCCGCGUGGUUGAAGAAGUCCUUCGGGAUGUAAAAACCUUUUACAAGGGAGGAAAUUUUGACUGUACCUUGUGAAUAAGGGGUUGCUAAACUCGUGCCAGCAGCAGCGGUAAUACGAGUGCCCCGAGCGUUAUCCGGAAUUAUUGGGCGUAAAGGGUGUGUAGGCGGUCGUGUUAGUCCUCCGUUAAAUCUCUCGGCUCAACCGAGAACCAGCGGGGGAGACGGCACGACUCGAGGGUAUGAGAGGUGCAUGGAACUCACAGUGUAGGGGUGAAAUCCGUUGAUAUUGUGGGGAACACCAAAUGCGAAGGCAGUGCACUGGCAUACUUCUGACGCUGAGACACGAAAGCGUGGGUCGCG
rnacentral:rRNA from 1 species